GAUGAACGCUGGCGGCGUGCCUAAUACAUGCAAGUAGAACGCUGAAGGAGGAGCUUGCUCUUCUGGAUGAGUUGCGAACGGGUGAGUAACGCGUAGGUAACCUGCCUGGUAGCGGGGGAUAACUAUUGGAAACGAUAGCUAAUACCGCAUGACAACAGUUAUUGCAUGAUAACUGUUUAAAAGGGGCAACUGCUCCACUACCAGAUGGACCUGCGUUGUAUUAGCUAGUUGGUGAGGUAACGGCUCACCAAGGCGACGAUACAUAGCCGACCUGAGAGGGGGAGCGGCCACACUGGGACUGAGACACGGCCCAGACUCCUACGGGAGGCAGCAGUAGGGAAUCUUCGGCAAUGGACGGAAGUCUGACCGAGCAACGCCGCGUGAGUGAAGAAGGUUUUCGGAUCGUAAAGCUCUGUUGUAAGAGAAGAACGAGUGUGAGAGUGGAAAGUUCACACUGUGACGGUAUCUUACCAGAAAGGGACGGCUAACUACGUG
rnacentral:rRNA from 1 species